GAUAACUCCGGAAUAGCUUUCGAAAGAAAGAUUAAUACCGGAUAGCAUACGAAUAUCGCAUGAUAUUUUUAUUUAAAGAAUUUCGGUUAUCGAUGGGGAUGCGUUCCAUUAGUUUGUUGGCGGGGUAACGGCCCACCAAGACUACGAUGGAUAGGGGUUCUGAGAGGAAGGUCCCCCACAUUGGAACUGAGACACGGUCCAAACUCCUACGGGAGGCAGCAUG
rnacentral:rRNA from 1 species